UCCGUAGGGUGCGAGCGUUGUCCGGAUUUAUUGGGCGUAAAGAGCUCGUAGGCGGUUUGUCGCGUCGGCCGUGAAAUCUCCACGCUUAACGUGGAGCGUGCGGUCGAUACGGGCAGACUUGAGUUCGGUAGGGGAGACUGGAAUUCCUGGUGUAGCGGUGAAAUGCGCAGAUAUCAGGAGGAACACCGGUGGCGAAGGCGGGUCUCUGGGCCGAUACUGACGCUGAGGAGCGAAAGCGUGGGGAGCGAACAGG
rnacentral:rRNA from 1 species